rnacentral:lncRNA from 1 species
GUAGAGAGAGCUGGUAAAUAGAUUCCUUCUCAUUGGUGAGACGUGCUGGGCCGAGGAGAUGCCAAGAGGACCGUGCAUUCAUUCAACAAUAUCCAUGGCCACGUGAGAAUGAAUUGCGGCAUGAAGCCAAGGGUUUGCCAUCCCUGGUGUGAGACGUCAGGUCUGAGGCAGUGAUUAUUAGUGAGACAGAAAAUGCAGACAUAUGUAAAUCAUAGAUCUUCUGGAUUUAUGAGCAGUAUUUUAGUCAAAUUUGGCAAGCAGCAUUUUGUAACAUUAUAUGUUAGAGGCAGCUGAGUAAGUUUUUGACCAUGUGCUGGUAAGAAUGGCACCCUGUCAGUCAGGAAGCAGGCUUCUUGUGUGAACGUCUCUCAGGGACAAUAAUAAGGCUGACCUUGGGAAAUAAGACUCUAGAUAAGAAUAGCAAAGGGGAACUAAGCCACCUUGGGAUAAUGGGCCAUAUCUCUAAGUAGUUUUCCCUUCUGGUUAUUUUAAUCUUAAGUAAAUUUACUCUUCCUAUAGUACCGUUCUAUUUUUAUG